rnacentral:lncRNA from 1 species
UUUUCGUUUUCCUUUUUGUCAGUGUUUCCCUUACCUUGAUGAGAGAGAAGGGAUGUGGCCUCAACUGGAGGACCAAGUCAGCUGAGAGCCUAGCAGUAAUGCUAAGGGGGAGCUCUGACACCAGUUCUAAUUUUUAAUCUGUAAGAAGAAUGAAGCCCUGACAGGAAAUAUGCUGAAAAGCUACCGUAAUAAAUUUGACAUAAGAUGCAUGACGUGGAUGGAUAGAACAUUGUUCGCAAGGCCUGGCAAAUGAAACUGGGGCUUACAGGGAGGCAGAGACAUUGUUCUACAAGGCAUGCUUCAGACCAGUAGAGCAUGAGCACUGACCUGGUAAGCUGCUGCUACCAUCUGCAAAGGACCAUGUCAGGAGGCUCCAUAGGUGAUGGAAACUGCUGUACUGAGCAGACUCCUUGAGUGUUACCUGAGUGGGUGAGAUACUACAUCAAAGUCUCACAGAGGACAGUCCAAAGAAUGCUGUAAGAGACACUUUUAAUUUUAUUCCUUCAUCCAUAAGAGCUCUAGUUAAAAAAUCAGAGUCUUUAUCUUUCUUUCAUGGUCAUUUUCAAUGUGCCUUUUCUUUAGGUGUUUUGUUGUUUGGUUUAGGUUGUUGCUUUUUCUCCUGCCUGUACUCCUAUUACUGUAGCACCUGGCACUGCACAGUACCGUUGUGACUUGUCACCAGUACUGCUUCGUGGCUACUAGUCCCAUAUGAACAAAAGGGGCCAUGCUGCAUGGAGAUUCUAAGCAACACAUGUGUUUCUCAGGAGACCACAGCAGAGGAAAAGCUAGAAACUGAGUUUCCUGAAAAGCAGCCUUAGCAAUUACCAAAGAAAUUUGUGGAUAGACUGUCUUUCAAAUUACCCAAGCCUCAGGAAAAGGCUCUGGCCUGUCCCAACCUCUGUCAUUACUCACAGAAACAUCCUUUUCAUUAGCCAGAACAGAAGUCUUCACUCUCCCUCUGCUGCUGUGACCUGCUCACCCAUCAUCUUCCUGGAUGACACUUUGCCCUUGCCUUUCCCCAACCAUCAAAUAAUCUUUCAAAGCCUAAAACCAUAAACAAAUUUUAUGUUCUCCC